rnacentral:rRNA from 1 species
UACAGAGGGUGCAAGCGUUGUUCGGAAUUAUUGGGCGUAAAGCGCGUGUAGGCGGCUUUGCAAGUCGGGUGUGAAAGCCCUCAGCUUAACUGAGGAAGUGCGCCCGAAACUGCAGAGCUUGAGUACCGGAGAGGAUGGUGGAAUUCCCCAAGUAGAGGUGAAAUUCGUAGAUAUGGGGAGGAACACCGGUGGCGAAGGCGACCAUCUGGACGGAUACUGACGCUGAGACGCGAAAGCGUGGGUAGCAAACGGG